GUGGUCAAGCUACCAAGGGCGCAUGGGGGAUGUCUUGGUAUCGGAAGGCGAUGAAGGGCGUGGAAGUCUGCGAAAAGCCCGGGGGAGUUGACAAACGAACUUUGAUCCUGGGAUUCCUGAAUUGUUCCUGCGCUGAAUCCAUAGGCGCGUGGAGGCAAACUCGGUGAACUGAAACAUCUAAGUAACCGAAGGAAAAUAAAGAAAAAUCGAUUUCGUCAGUAGCGGCGAGCGAACGCGAAAUAGCCCAAACCGAACCCAUUUUUGGGAGCGGGGUUGUAGGGCCUCUCACAUGGAAGUUACAAAACUGCCUGCUAGCAGAAUCGUACGGAAAGGCGAACCACAGAGGGUGAUAGUCCCGUAAGCGACAGCAGAGCAGUCUUCCGAGAGGUACCUGAGUAGGUCGGGUCACGUGGAACCCCGACUGAAUCUACGGGGACCAUCCCGUAAGGCUAAAUACUCUCCGAUGACCGAUAGUGAACUCAGUAGCGCGAGUGAAAGGUGAGAAGAACCCCUAUUAGGGGAGUAGCAGAACCUGAAACCAUGCGCCUACAAGCGGUCGGAGCUUAUUGCUCUUUGAGCAAUGGUGACGGCGUGCCUUUUGCAUAAUGAUCCGGCGAGUUACCGUCUGCGGCACGGUUAAGGCCUUACGGGCUGGAGCCAUAGGGAAACCGAGUCUUAAUAGGGCGAAUAUGUCGUUGGUGGUAGACGCGAAACCGGGUGAUCUACCCAUGGACAGGUUGAAGCGCGGGUUAUACCGCGUGGAGGACCGAACCCACUUGGGUUGAAAACUGAGGGGAUGAUCUGUGGGGAGGAGUGAAAGUCUAAUCAAACCCGGAGAUAGCUCGUUCUCUCCGAAAUAUCUUUAGGGAUAGCCUCGUGCCACUACGUCUCGGGGGUAGAGAUACUGAAUCGGAUGAGGGCCCUUUCCGGGGUACCUCACUGAACCAAACUCCGAAUACCGAGACGACUAUCACGGGAGUCAGUCCGCGUGGGAUAAGCUGCGUGGUCGAGAGGGAAACAACCCAGAUCGUCGGCUAAGGUCCCGAAGUUAUGCUUAGUCACUAAGGAAGUUGAAUUGCAGUGACAGCCAGGAUGUUGGCUUAGAAGCAGCCACCAUUUAAAAAGUGCGUAACAGCUUACUGGUCGAGCAAUUCUGCGCCGAUAAUGAACGGGAGUAAGCAU
rnacentral:rRNA from 1 species